rnacentral:rRNA from 1 species
UACGAAGGGGGCUAGCGUUGUUCGGAAUCACUGGGCGUAAAGGGCGCGUAGGCGGCUUUGUAAGUCGGGGGUGAAAGCCUGUGGCUCAACCACAGAAUUGCCUUCGAUACUGCAUGGCUUGAGACCGGAAGAGGUUAGUGGAACUGCGAGUGUAGAGGUGAAAUUCGUAGAUAUUCGCAAGAACACCAGUGGCGAAGGCGGCUAACUGGUCCGGAUCUGACGCUGAGGCGCGAAAGCGUGGGGAGCAAACAGG